GGGAGGGAGGGAGGAGACGGAGGAGGAUUUAGAAAUCUGCCAGGUCCAGGCAGAGACGGCGUAGGUGGAGGAAGAACACACCUGAAAUCCAGGGGCCUAUCCAAGGAGACCUCCACUGUGGGACCUCUUUAGCCCCGGAGCCGCUCGUUACCAUCUCGGCUCAUUCGUUAAGUUUCCCCCAUCAUGCUGACGCGCUCACACUCUGAGCGUAGGCCCUUGCCCGGGUUCUCCGCCCUGCUGACUCACAGCACCCCCAAACCCCGGAACACCAACUCCCCUCCUCCUUCUCCGCCCUUCUACCCCUCGGAGUCCAUGUUCUCGCCCGUCUCCGUCGCCUCGCCGCCUCACUGGUCACCCAAGCCCUCGAAAACCUGGAGCAGGGCGAGCGAGAGCUGCGGGCCCUGAUGGAACGGCAGCAGGCCGAGGUGGAGGAGGUGAACCGGGAGCUGGACGGCGCCGUGUUCAAAGCCCAGCGGGAGGAGCGCCGUCUCCGGGAGAAGGUGGAGCAGGACCACAGGGAGGCCCAGCGGCGGCUCGACCAGGUCAAGAGGGAGAACGGGGCGUCGGUGAGGGUGGUGCAGUCGCUGCUGGACCGGCAGCUCCGUAAGAUGGCCCAGCUGAAGGAGCAGGUGCACCGGUCGGGUGGAAGCGCCGGAGUGGCCAACAAGAACCAGCUCCAGAGAGGGGUGGCCGAGGUCACCCAGCCGUGGGAGAUAUCGCUGUCCGUGAAGAGGGUGAAGUUCCUUCCCCGGACCCCGGUGAGCGACCUCAGCCUCGGAGAGGUGGAGAUCCGGGAGCAGGGAAUGACGUAUCCCAUCGGCGUCUGUGGGGUCCAAGGGCAGAAGUGCGCUCUGCACUCAGGUGAGAGGACGUUUCUGAACACCGUCCCCACCGAGGUUCGCAAAGAUCUGCUGCCGAAUGUGUCCGGGAACAGACGCAGCUCGGUGGAUGUCGAUAAGGCGAGCGCGGGGAGUACGCGCGUCGUCCGGAAACUGCGACUGUCGAGCUCAGGGGAGCCCAAGGAAGGGCUCAAGGCACCUUUCUUGAAGUCGCCCAGUCCGAAGCAUUGCGCUGCUUCCGAGUCGUCCCAAGAUGAGGAGCAGGAGUCCUUGUGUUCCGACUCGCCGGGCCAUGACCUGUUCCUGGCCUUCCCACCGGUCUCAAGCCAGGGGGAGUCGGAAGGCGACGAGUCUGACGUCACGCGAGACGGCACCGAGAAGGUUCGGAGAAGGAAGAGCACCUUUGUCCUUGUCCCCAGCGAUGAACCUUCCUGCCCUCCUGAGGGCAGCUGUGAGGAAUUCCGGGCGUCUACGGAGAUCAAGGCCAGGGGUUCUUUCUCCAGCCACAGUGCUAUAGAUCUAUCUCCCAGACAUUGUCCCCUCGCCGCGUCCACCAAAAAAAGGUCACUUGUUUCCUCAGUGGACAGCGGUAGCCCCCCGUCUCCCGCGGACAGCGAGGACUCCCACUACAGCUACACCGCCGACAUCCCUUACAGAGCCUCCCUCAAGGAAGUACACAGCCGAGCUGCGUCCACGGCAGACCUCUCUGGCCGGCAGAGGCCCUUGAUCGACAGUGGAAAGGGCGAGCGACGUGGAAUCAGAAAAGCCAACCGGACGCGCCUCUCCCCAGAGUCCUCAACUCCUGAGCAGAAGCAGGGCUGUUGCCAGGAGUCUGGGGGAAGUUGCACAGACUACAACGAGGGAGUUUUGAGACCCCUGAGUCCAGUGAAGAGGGGCACAUGCGCCAGUCCUGUGAGCAGAUCUCUGUCUCUGUCUGCACUCGAAGGGGAGACCUUCCAACGAAACCGAGUGGAGCAACCAUCCGAGAAGUGCAGCAAAGAGGAAGCUGUGCCCCAGUUAAGGGAAGUGGAGGAAGUGGGUGGUUUACCGGCACUAAACGCCGCCUACCUCGUCAGACAGUUUGGAAAACAGGGGUCAGGCCGAACCGACUUCAACCUCCCGAGCGGUGUCCAUGCCACCGUGAAGGGACAGUUGUUCGUGGUGGACUGCGGCAACGCCCGAAUCCAGGUCACGGACCUCCAGAAGAACGUGGUGCAGCAGGUGUGUCCGUCAGGAGCCGAGAGGUCCGCCCGCAUCUGCAACUACUUUGACGUGGCGGUGAACGCCAUGGGCCUCAUCGCCCUGACCUGCGCCGCCGAGCGAGCCCUGCUUGUCUUCAGCCGUCACGGACGACUCCUCCAGACCUUCGGGGGUUCCUCCAUCGGCUCCACCAACGAGGAGCUGGAGGCCCCCCGGGGGGUGACCGUCACCCGGGAGGACGAGUUCCUGGUGGCCGACAUGAAGCGAGGCUCCCUGACCGCGCUGAAGCUGGACCCCAAGACGGGCGUGCGACUGGAGCGCACGACGGUCACCAAGUUCCACCGGCCCCACCUGGUGGCGGCCUGCGUCACUACAGGGCUCGUGGCCGUGUCGGAGCGGGGCAACGAGACGGGCCGCGUCCCCUGCAUCCGGGUGCUUGAGCCCGGGUGGACGACCAUCCGGAUCCUGGGGGUGUGCUCGGGCCUGGGUCCCGUCCUGACAAGCGCGUGGGGUCUGUGCAUCGACGGGGACGGGGACGUCCUGGUGGCCGACUGGGGCAAGCGGCAGCACCGUGUUGUCUUCUACCCUGCCGUAGGGGUAGGCUGGCCCCUGGUGGCGGAGGACCUGAACAGUCCCAGGGGCUUGGCCCCGGUGCCUGGGGGCCAGGUGGUCGUGGCGGACAGCAUGAACCACUGUGUUAAGAUCUACCGCUAUAAGUAGAGAGAUGGAGGGGGGGAGAAACGCUAGCAAAUGACAUUAACGAUGUUGUAGUAUCAGCGAACCAGACGAUGCGAUUAUCGGUUUUGCACCAUUAUUAUCAAUAAUGGUGCAUUAUUGAUUAUUAUCAAUAAUGGUGUAAAAGUCCAAAACAUUAGUAGACAAUCAUCCACCAUUUAGUUAGAAGUACUUACUGUAUUUGGCGAACAGGGAAUCCAAGUUUGAGGUUUGAAUAUUUUUGUGGCGUAUUUCUUUGGGGGUUGGAUGUUGUUUUCUUUUUACAUACAAUCAUCUGUGAAUGUAUCAGCUAGUAUAAGCUAUUAAGAUAUCAGUGGUGAUGGAUCAUGAUCUUGGCUCUUCCUAGUAUCCAUGCAGAAUCCUGAUUUAUCUUCUACGAAAUCGUACUGAUUGAUUACAUGUUUAAUAAUUUGAAGUUAUUUUAGAGAGAAUACAAUAUAAGAUAUAUAAGAUGGUUAAAUCAAUUAAAUAUACUAAAAUACAAGCUUAUCUAAAAGGUAUUUUAGCGUGCUACAAAGUGUGUCAUUAUGUUCACAUUUGGGAAACAAAUUGUGUAAUCUGUAAAUGUUCCAGACAGACAUGAUUCCCGUAAAUUGUUCUUUGUGUGUUCUGUGAAAUUUCUGAAUAAAAACAUAUUUUAGCUUUCAA